GAUGAACGCUGGCGGCGUGCCUAAUACAUGCAAGUCGAGCGAACGGACGAGCAGCUUGCUUCUCUGAUGUUAGCGGCGGACGGGUGAGUAACAUGUGGAUAACCUACCUAUAAGACUGGGAUAACUUCGGGAAACCGGUGCUAAUACCGGAUGCUAUUUUGUACCGCAUGGUUCAACAGUGAAACACGGUCUUGCUGUCACUUAUAGAUUGAUCCGCGCUGCAUUAGCUAGUUGGUAAGGUAACGGCUUACCAAGGCAACGAUGCAUAGCCGACCUGAGAGGGUGAUCGGCCACACUGGAACUGAGACACGGUCCAGACUCCUACGGGAGGCAGCAGUAGGGAAUCUUCCGCAAUGGGCGAAAGCCUGACGGAGCAACGCCGCGUGAGUGAUGAAGGUCUUCGGAUCGUAAAACGCUGUUAGUAGGGAAGAACAUAUGUGUAAGUAACUGUGCACAUCUUGACGGUACCUAAUCAGAAAGCCACGGCUAACUACGUG
rnacentral:rRNA from 1 species